rnacentral:rRNA from 1 species
AUUGAACGCUGGCGGCAGGCCUAACACAUGCAAGUCGAACGGUAGCACAGAGAGCUUGCUCUCGGGUGACGAGUGGCGGACGGGUGAGUAAUGUCUGGGAAACUGCCCGAUGGAGGGGGAUAACUACUGGAAACGGUAGCUAAUACCGCAUAACGUCGCAAGACCAAAGUGGGGGACCUUCGGGCCUCACACCAUCGGAUGUGCCCAGAUGGGAUUAGCUAGUAGGUGGGGUAAUGGCUCACCUAGGCGACGAUCCCUAGUUGGUCUGAGAGGAUGACCAGCCACACGGGGACUGAGACACGGGCCAGACUCCUACGGGAGGCAGCAGUGGGGAAUAUUGCACAAUGGGCGCAAGCCUGAUGCAGCCAUGCCGCGUGUAUGAAGAAGGCCUUCGGGUUGUAAAGUACUUUCAGCGGGGAGGAAGGCGGUGGAGUUAAUAACUUCACCGAUUGACGUUACCCGCAGAAGAAGCACCGGCUAACUCCGUGCCAGCCGCCGCCGUAA